rnacentral:rRNA from 1 species
UUGAAAAGCGUGGGGGAGCAAACAGGAUUAGAUUCCCCGGGUAAGUUCCCGCCGUAAAACGAUGAGUGCUAAGUGUUGGAGGGUUUCCCCCCUUUCAGUGCUGCAGCUAACGCAUUAAAGCACUCCGCCUGGGGAGUACGACCGCAAGGUUGAAACUCAAAGGAAUUGACGGGGGCCCGCACAAGCGGUGGAGCAUGUGGUUUAAUUCGAAGCAACGCGAAGAACCUUACCAGGUCUUGACAUCCUUUGACCACUCUAGAGAUAGAGCUUCCCCUUCGGGGGCAAAGUGACAGGUGGUGCAUGGUUGUCGUCAGCUCGUGUCGUGAGAUGUUGGGUUAAGUCCCGCAACGAGCGCAACCCUUAUUGUUAGUUGCCAUCAUUUAGUUGGGCACUCUAGCAAGACUGCCGGUGACAAACCGGAGGAAGGUGGGGAUGACGUCAAAUCAUCAUGCCCCUUAUGACCUGGGCUACACACGUGCUACAAUGGGAAGUACAACGAGUCGCGAAGUCGCGAGGCUAAGCUAAUCUCUUAAAGCUUCUCUCAGUUCGGAUUGUAGGCUGCAACUCGCCUACAUGAAGCCGGAAUCGCUAGUAAUCGCGGAUCAGCACGCCGCGGUGAAUACGUUCCCGGGCCUUGUACACACCGCCCAUCACGCCACGAGAGUUUGUAACACCCGAAGUCGGUGAGGUAACCUUUUGGAGCCAGCCCGCCUAAG